UUUCCGUAGGUGAACCUGCGGAAGGAUCAUUAAUGAGUUGUCAUGGGGUUCGAUGCUGGCAGCCAGUUUUUGGAUGCAUGUGCUUGCCCUAACAAUCAUCUUCUUCUAAACACCUGUGCACAUUUUUGAGGGAGUCUUGAGUUGGUUGCCGCUCUUGGGUGAUUUUCUCACAUUCCCUUAAAUCAUUAUACGCUAUUAACAAUGUUGAACGUGCUCUGUGCCGCAAGGCCAUUAAUAUAAUACAACUUUUAACAACGGAUCUCUUGGCUCUC
rnacentral:misc_RNA from 1 species